rnacentral:rRNA from 1 species
GAUGAACGCUGGCGGCGUGCCUCAAACAUGCAAGUCGAGCGGGGCUAUGUAAUAUCGCAAGGUAGAACAUAGCCUAGCGGCGAACGGGUGAGUAACACGUGGGUAACCUGCCUGGAAGACAGGGAUAACGAUUCGAAAGGGUCGCUAAUACCUGAUAAUAUCCUUUCAUCGCAUGGUGAUAGGAAGAAAGGGGAAACCCGCUUUCAGAUGGGCCCGCGUCCCAUCAGCUAGUUGGUAAGGUAAAGGCUUACCAAGGCGACGACGGGUAGCCGGUCUGAGAGGAUGUACGGCCACACUGGGACUGAGACACGGCCCAGACUCCUACGGGAGGCAGCAGUGGGGAAUAUUGCGCAAUGGGGGAAACCCUGACGCAGCGACGCCGCGUGAGCGAAGAAGGCCUUCGGGUUGUAAAGCUCUGUUGUAAGGGACGAAGGAGCUGGGUAGUAACUGACCUGGCGGUGACGGGUACCUUACCAGCAAGCCCCGGCGUAACUACGUGCCAGCAGCCGCGUAAAGAGU